rnacentral:rRNA from 1 species
AGGACGAACGCUGGCGGCGUGCUUAACACAUGCAAGUCGAGCGGAAAGGCCCUUCGGGGUACUCGAGCGGCGAACGGGUGAGUAACACGUGAGUAACCUGCCCUAGGCUUUGGGAUAACCCUCGGAAACGGGGGCUAAUACCGAAUAUUCAUUUCCGGCGGCAUCGCUGGUGGUGGAAAGUUUUUCGGCCUGGGAUGGGCUCGCGGCCUAUCAGCUUGUUGGUGGGGUGAUGGCCUACCAAGGCGACGACGGGUAG